UUUAAGUUCAUCAUUUCCUUGAUGAACCUAUUAAAAUUGCUCUCAUUUAACCAGAAUAUUGUGUAAAAGCUUUGUCACCUCAAGAAAGCAGGUGGAAAAAAUGUUAUCGUCAAGUAUUUUUGUUCAACUCUGGAUAAUGAAACAGUUUAAAUAAAUUAUGGAACAUCAUGUUAUGGCCAAGUUGAAUUGGAAAGGCAAAGUUCGUGGUGAUAUAAAAAAGGUAUCAUUCGAAGAUAAAAAGUUGUGUAAAGCAAUAAUUGAAGUCAUCCAGCCAAUGCACAAGUCUUUGACGGAAGCACAAAUAAAAAAAUUAAAUAGGAAGCAUUUUAAAGUUCUCUCCAUUUGUUAUUGGUAGCAAAAAAAAAUUAA
rnacentral:lncRNA from 1 species